UGUAGUAUCUUCACUGUUUGUUAUGGUAGUUCUAUGUAUCUUAAUCAUUUUGGGGAUUUUGGUGGAUUAGUAUUUACGAACGCAUAAUUAGGCUCAUGAUGCAUCACAUUUGUUUUUUCUUUUUUCAAUCUGUACACAGGAUACUCAUCUUCUACUGACUGGGGGAGUGGAGAAAAUCCUUCGUAUUCUUGAUUUGAAUCGUCCAAAUGCACCCCUGGUCAGUCAGAACUGUUGCAUGGCUCCAUAGUGAUCAAAUAAUGUUAAGCUCUUGCUCUGACAUGGGCGGUGUCAGGUUAUGGGAUGUAAGAAGUGGUAAGAUAGUCCAAACACUCAAGACCAAGUCAUCUGUGACCAGUGCUGAAGUGAGUCAAGAUGGUCGUUAUGUCAAAACUGCUGAUGGGUCAAUAGUUAAGUUUUAUGCCUUGGCCAAAUCUGAAUCUUGAACUCUAAUGAAAUGGGAACUAUCUUUCUGAACAAGAUGUUACAGUUGAUAUUGAGGCAAUCAAAGAAGAGAAAAGAGUUUUGGAAUUGUCUCUAGCAGAAGCCAGAGACAAAAAUUCUAGGCUCAGAGAAAAGGUCGAUGAAGUUAACAGUACUCAUGGUGAAUUAUCCAAGGAACUCCAAUCUGUCCAAGGUCAACUGGUAACCGAGAGAUCAUGAAUCUUUAAAUU